CUUUCCUAGAAUUGUAGCAGCUUGAACAGCCAUGAAGAGAAGGUUCUUAUUAUCCGUGCAGGAGAUGAAGACUCUAUAGAAGUUAUGUAAUUGCUUGAUCCCUUCUCAUACUUUUUUUAUUACACAACAAUUGUGCCUAUUCCCACUAUAGUUAUUGUGGUUAUAUUUAUAUUACAUUUUAUGAUAAACUAACAGGCUGUAUGAAACCGUUCAAACAAUUGCAGGAGCUGUUAUUAUUGAUGGAGUAGUUGGACCGCCAUCAUGGAUGCACACCAGCUUAAUCUAGGGGUUGGAUACACUUGAAAGGCGGAUAAAAUGAUUAGAGGAUGAAUCAUCCCCCACAUGAUGCAGACGUGUUGAAGCUAUUCUACCCAUGCCACGAAGCUCAGGUGCCCAUUAUACUAUAGAUGACAUGAAGUAAUUUUAGUCUAUCGAGGAGCAUUUCAGUUGGGAAAUUCUGGAUUUCAUGUGUUUUAAUCAAAUGUGUAGUUUGUAAGUUGUAGGAAGAAAUUGGUCCACCCGCAAUGUAUAUAGCCCAAAACUAAUGUGAAUUUCCCACUGGGUUUAGAAGUACGAAUGUGAAUGAUUUAUAAUAUUCGAUCAAAAUGUUAGAUUUAUAAUGAAA